UAACAGUAAUGUCCAGUGACAGAGCAAAAAGCUGGAGGCCAGGCCAGAGCAACCACAUCCGGCGAAGCCUAUGGAAGCCAUCUUCCAAAUCUCCUUUUUGGCCUCCAUGUGCUGAGAAUCCAUGAAAUUUCCACGUCUUCAGAAGAACAUUCUCUGGAAACAGAUUGAUAAACCUGAAGUGAGUCUACUCCAGACGCUGGUAGGAAACCACUCCAUCCUCCUUUCCCAGGCUCUGGGGUGACGCUCAGCAUCUUAUGGAAACGGGACCCUGACUCCCAUCGGCCACGUUCCUCCACCUCUGUGACUCUGGCAACUCAGGCUGUAGGUGUUGAAAUGUCUUUGUUGAUAAAUGAAAAUCCUUCUGAUAAGACUUACAUUUUAUACCUUAAGAACAAAUCUAGUGCCUCUCUCUUGAGGCCUCGUGGGAGGCAGGGUGGUGGCCCUAAGAACUUGACUGGCAGACCCCGAACUCCAGGCCUGUCUGCUGCUCCCUGGACUCCAUCGCUGCUUUUCUGCUGAGGCCAUGCUGCCACGACCACUCCCAGCCAGUGAGCAACUAAAGUGGACCCGUUCCUGGACGACACCAGACUCCUCUGAUGGUUGACUUUGACUCAGGGACUCUAUUUGACCAAAGUGAUGACAAACAUUUUUAAAAUCUUCAUUUCAAUGUUAAGUAUGGAAUAUAUAGUCAACAGUGAUAUGAUGGAAGAAUUUAAAUGGAUUAUUGAGUAGUCAAAAAUCUGUACCAAAAAUGAUGUAAAGAAUAUUAAAGUAUGGACAAAUCAUUAUAAUGCUAACGAUGAUGGUGAUGAUGAUGACGAGGAAUCAUAAACUUGUUAGC
ensembl:lncRNA